UGCGUCAGUCAGGAGCUGCUCAGUUUGGCGCUAGGAGCCACUGCACCGCACGACUACAUCAGUACAACCGCGUGCUGUGGGCGCGUGCAAGCACGUAAAAGGAUGGACGGACUGCGUGACCGGCAAUCUGCUCAGCUCCUAAUCCUCCUCCUGCUGGCAGCUCCUAGUCUAGCUGAUUAUUCAGGGCUCUCUUUCUCUGCUUCUCUGAACUGGCACAUACUCGGAAGGCAUGUAAUCAACUUGUCGUGUACAACCAGACCGUAACUAUAUAUGGCAAAGCAGAAGAGUGUGUGUGUAUAGAAUCGUCGACAUGGACAAUUUCCAUCCCCAACUGGAUCCCAUUUUCUUUCUUUCUUUUUUUCCUGCUGCAACGCCUAUGCAGCAAACGUAGCGGCGUCGUGUGGUCUGUCGUCGUGCAUAGUCUCUCGAGUUUUGUGAUUAUUCCGAUUCCAGAUAACGCUGGGGUAUCUAUGCAGCAGCUGUGUACAGCCUUUUGUGUGUGUUGUCAGAGAAAUGCAGUAUGCAUUCCUAUAGUGACGGGUGUCUGCAACAGGAGCAUCCAACUCGUAGAUAUUGUAUGAUACGCCGGAGCGCUGGAGAUGUAUAGGAACGAGUGAAAGCUGCUGCUGCUGGGAUCCUAGCCAUAUGUGCUGCGCAUCUAUUAUUAUUCUAUAUAGGGCAGCAGCGGCAGAGUGACGAGGGGACACCACGGAGGUUUCCAAACUCGUGGCAACGACAAAAGAACAACCCAACAGACACACAAAACUGUUUCAAGCCUCGUAGAUUCUUUCUUCUUCUCUUGUUGUGUCUAAGGUGAGUGCGAUAUCAAUGCAACAUGUAUAACCGGGCCAGCUAGAGCCCAUCCAGCAGCCUGGUCCUCUGCUCACUGUAUUCGGUUUCGGUGGAAACGACAGCACGGCGCUCGUAGAUUUCCUCUCUAUAAUUUAUUCGACCACUUAAACUGAAAUAUUGAGCGGCUUGGCCAUGCUGCUGAUGUAUAGAUUUGCUCUUCGACCAGAUACUUUUAAAAAACGUAUUCAUGCGUGUUAGGUUCCCAUCGUGGCUUUCAAACUAUUUUUUUUUUUAACUUUCAGACUGUUUUUAUACCUUUUUAAAUGUCAAAUGAUUUAACUAAAAUGUCUAUCCCAUUUUCACUGCAUAUUCUCAUCACAUUAUAGAAGUAGCGACCGACAUGUCGUACCAACUUUAAAAGCAUAUAACAAAAUCCAAACAAAAGUUGAAACUUUUCAUUUCUUCCCCCCAUUUCCAGGCUUUUGAUUCGAUUGCAUUUCCGAACACGACGACGAAGAAAGGGCGGAGAUGUUGGAGGGGAAAGUCGGCCGUUGGCUGCCAGCCAACAGGGAGAACAAGCCCUCCCCACUACCACGCCACUAUAAUAUAACAGUUGAGCGCCAUUUCGUCGUUAACUGGAACAAGUCAGUUGUGAAGUCUAACGGCGGCGAAGAACUCGUGUGUGAAGAUUACCGGAGCAACGAAGAAAGAAGAAAAGCCGACGCCAGCCCUUUUGCCCAGCACCACCGCCGCUGGUUAAUUAGUGAGAGCAGAAAGGAAAAUGAAUUGCGACCGACUGCCAAGACGAUAGGAGUAGUAGCAGCACUACUGCCGUAUUCUCACUCUGCUAUAGCUCCGAUGGGGGGGCUUACUUAUGGGUUGCAUAAGUAACAAACCCGACCCGAACAGACCACUCAGCUUUCUACUCGUCUACUAAAGGUUUUGUUGGGGGUGAAAAGUACCGUAGGUUAUACGAAUAGUAGUGCGACCAAUAGUCUAGAAAGCAUCGUGCAUCUUUCAAUAGAUUAGACUGGGGGAGAAAAAGAAGCGAGUUGGUGGGUAGUAGUGGGCAUGUCGUCGCAUCGAAACCCAAUCGAAACAAAAGAGAUUGGCGAGACCAAGUAUAAUUGCGAGUGUCGAAUGACACAAGAACUUUUUGUCGUCGGUUUAUUGUUUUUCCAACUGAUUGUUUUCGUCCACCUCAACACCCGGGGCAUUAAUAAAAGUGACUAGGUAUAAUAAAUCGAUAAAGUCAUCUAGAAGUAA